GCUGAGAGCGAUCUCUGCAGCGCUGGAAGGGUAUGCUCGCGCGCUGGCGCUCCAGGGUUAAGUCCGUGGCUCUGGCGCCGUGAAUCUGAAUCUGAGCCUCGGCUCCUCCGCUCACUAGCAGUGUGACCAUGGGUGGCUCAGAUGGUAAAGAAUCUGCCUGCAAUACAGGAGACCUGGGUUGGGAAGAUCCCCCUGGAGGAGAGCAUGGCAACACACUCCAGUAUUCUUGCCUGGAGAAUCCCCAAGGACAGAGGAGCCUGGUGGGCUACGAGUCCAUGGGGUCGCAGAGUCGGACACGACUGAGUGACUAAGCACAGUGGAAAAUCCAGACAUUCCUAGAUUAGUAUUAUGGAUAAAAUAAUUAAAACAUCUAGGAUUGGAUACAAAACAAUAUGAAGGGAAGUAGGUGGGGGUAUAAAUGAAUCAAAAGUGGCUACAAGUUAGUCCUUUUAAAGCUGGGUCACAGAUAUGUGGAGAUUCGUUGUGCUAGUCUCAGUAUUUCUUUGUAUGUGGUAAAAUGUCAUAAUACAAAGUCAACAAGAUAAGCGGUUAGAGCUUAUAUCCUCCAUGAUAGCUGCCCAGUAUCCCUGAGAGCAGUCGAAACACUUCUUCCUUGAAGUUGUUGCUGUACUUUGAACAUUGCUCUGGCAGGAAAAUUACUGUAAGGGGUUUACUUGUUCCUCUCGCCUGCUAGCUUGUAAAUUUAGUGCAUCUCCAUUUCCAGGUGCCAAGUCCACUGCCUCGCCCUGUUAGUGCUCAGUGGAUGUUAGAUGGAUGGGGGAUUUUAAAAAUUGUGAAUACCGGGCAUUUAAUAAAUGUUUUCUGAAUUGCAA